CCUACGGGUGGCAGCAGUGGGGGAUAUUGCACAAUGGGGGGAACCCUGAUGCAGCGACGCCGCGUGGGUGAAGAAGCGCCUCGGCGCGUAAAGCUCUGUCAGCAGGGAAGAAAAUGACGGUACCUGAAGAAGAAGCCCCGGCUAACUACGUGCCAGCAGCCGCGGUAAUACGUCGGGGGCAACCGUUAUCCGGAUUUACUGGGUGUAAAGGGAGCGUAGACGGCUGUGCAAGUCUGAAGGGAAAGCCCAGGGGUGAAACCUGGGACUGCUUUGGAAACUGGGGAGCUAGAGUGCUGGAGAGGGAAGUGGAAUUCCUGGGGUAGCGGGGAAAUGCGUAGAUAUUAGGAGGAACACCAGUGGCGAAGGCGGCUUACUGGACAGUAACUGACGUUGAGGCUCGAAAGCGUGGGGAGCAAACAGGAUUAGAUACCCGGGUAGUC
rnacentral:rRNA from 1 species